CUGAAGCAGUAUGUACAGCCUGUGAUACGCAGACUGGAGUAAAACCUUCUUCAUGACAUUUUGUUGUAUGGAAAAGCUUGAGUUUUUGGAAGACACUCCGAUAACACAAUAUGGAAAGCAUGCUAUCUUAGCAUUUCCUACGCCGACUUGGAAUGCCUUCUGUUUGGAGAGGAUCCACUGGCAAGUGAGGGAAGGGGCUGCCCACUGUUUGGUCCUGCUACCUCCCAUUGCACCCGUUGCUUAGUGAGACAACUGCAUGAUGAGCUGCUACCAGCACUUUCAAAGCACUUCCUCGUGGAUUUAAUCAGUCCCUAAGAUGUCAACAAGGCACCUCACCCCUGCAGCUCUGGCAUCCCCGACACUAUUGGAACGGUGCUGGCAGCGCUAGCUCUGACUCGGACACCCGGCCCUAGCUGGGGAAUGGGGUCCCCUCCCUCUGCCCCGUGCCAGGGGAUGUGUCCCGUUGCAGCCAGACCCUGCCCAGAGCGUGGCACCGCACCGCUCAGCCAGCAAGGUGCAGCCCAGGAAGCCUGGGGAUCAGCAGCUUGCAUCAAUGCUUGCAUCUCCUGGUGGCCUGCAGACAGAGAACGGCUCCAAGCAGGAAGGAUGCGAGCAGAAAAGCAUCUUUGAAGACAAAGAUGGCUUCAGUCCUCUUCAAAUCAAGAAAUCACCUUCGUCUUUGGGGGAGGCCUCGGCCUGAAAGCGCCCAACAAAGAGCGGCUGGCGGCAGGUCAAGGCCCUUCCAUUGAGUCGCCCAGUCCCCAUCAGAUUGUGUUGGUGAUCAGCCAGCUGUCAGGGAAACAAGGCUCUCCAGAUCAGCGUGGUCUGGGACCAGGACCACAGCCUGGGCCUAAUUGUAAGAGCUACACUCAUUUAAAGACAGGGCAUGGAGAACACAGGGGUGGGGAAAAGCGCAAAAGCUUCAGCAGAUGAGGAAGAGCGAUUUCUUCUUCUGUGUUUUCCCUUGCUGAAACUGCUCAAGAUGUAUUACCAUGGCUACCCACCUGGGAAGGCAACACUUCUCCAGUUACGUUAUGGCAGCAGAAGGCUCCCCAGGAAAGGCUUCCUUCAGGUGAGGAGAUGCCAGUGACUAUUUCCACCACAAGCCCUCCUCCUCCCACGGUGCCCAUGCCCUCUGUGCUGGCCCUGGCCCCUCCAAAAUCUUCUGCAGGCCUGGGGCUGCCCCACGGAACCAGCCACAUGUACUCUGCUCUGCUCCAUGGGAGCCGCUCUGCACAGCACAGAC
ensembl:lncRNA